CACCGCGGUUAUACGAGAGGCCCAAGUUGACAACAAUCGGCGUAGAGAGUGGUUAAUAAGUUUUUUACUAAAGCCAAACACCUUCUAGACUGUUAUACGUUACCGAAAAAAGGAAGUCCAACCACGAAAGUAGCUUUAUGUCUAUGACCCCACGAAAGCUAGGGAA
rnacentral:rRNA from 1 species